rnacentral:rRNA from 1 species
GAAUAUUGGACAAUGGGCGCAAGCCUGAUCCAGCCAUGCCGCGUGAGUGAUGAAGGCCUUAGGGUUGUAAAGCUCUUUUACCAGGGAAGAUAAUGACGGUACCUGGAGAAUAAGCCCCGGCUAACUUCGUGCCAGCAGCCGCGGUAAUACGAAGGGGGCUAGCGUUGUUCGGAAUUACUGGGCGUAAAGCGCGCGCAGGCGGUUCUUCAAGUCAGAGGUGAAAGCCCAGGGCUCAACCCUGGAAUGGCCUUUGAGACUAGAGGACUAGGGUACGGGAGAGGUGAGUGGAAUUCCGAGUGUAGAGGUGAAAUUCGUAGAUAUUCGGAAGAACACCAGUGGCGAAGGCGGCUCACUGGCCCGUUACCGACGCUCAGGCGCGACAGCGUGGGGAGCAAACAGG